rnacentral:rRNA from 1 species
UGUAGCACAGCUGCGGCAUGGCUGUCGUCAGCUCUAGUCGUGAGAUGUUCCCUUAAGUGGGGUAUAGAGCGCAACCCUUAUUCUGUGUUGUAUAUCACAGGAGACCGCCCCGAUUAAUAUUGGGAAGGAAGGAGAGGAUGACGUCAAGUCAGCACGGCGCUUAUGUCCAGGGCCACACACAUCCUACAAUGGGUGCAACAAUGGGUUGCUAAACCGUAAGGCGGAGCUAAUCCCAAAAAAGCAUCCUCAGUUCAGAUUGGGGGCUGAAAUUCGCCCCCAUGAAGUUGGAAUUGGUAGUAAUCGCGGGUCAGCAGACCGCGGUGAAUACGUUCUCAGAUCUUGUUCACACUGCCCGUCAAGCGAGGAAAGUUGGGGGUGCCCGAAGCGGUCCGAUUGAGUUUGGACUUCUAAGGCAAACUCAGCGAUCAGCACUAAGUCGUAACAAGGUA